rnacentral:rRNA from 1 species
AAAUGAAUUGACGGGGGCUCACACAAGCGGUGGAGCAUGUUGCUUAAUUCGAGGCAACGCGAAGAACCUUACCUGGGUUUGACAUGUACGUAUUAACUCUAUGAAAGUAGAGCCACAGUCGCAAGACCGGAACGUGCACAGGUGCUGCAUGGCUGUCGUCAGCUCGUGCUGUGAAGUGUCGGGUUAAGUCCCUUAACGAGCGCAACCCCUAUCGUUAGUUGCCACCAGGUCAUGCUGAGCACUCUAACGAGACUGCCGGCGUUAAGCCGGAGGAAGGUGGGGAUGACGUCAAGUCCUCAUGGCCCUUACAUCCAGGGUUGCAAACGUGCUACAAUGGUGCAUACAGAGCGAUGCAAGAGCGCAAGCUGGAGCAAAUCGCAAAAAGUGCACCCCAGUUCGGAUUGCGGGCUGCAACCCGCCCGCAUGAAGUCGGAAUCGCUAGUAAUCGGGGAUCAGCUACGCCCCGGUGAAUAAGUUCCUGAGCCUUGUACACACCGCCCGU